rnacentral:lncRNA from 1 species
GAAUAGCCCAGGGUUUGCAUAAAUGAUAAUGUUUGUCAUGCCACUGUUAAAAUAACCGACAUAUCUAAAAGCACUUUGCGUGUGAAUAAAUUCAUAAAAUAAAAGGCAUUGAGUUCUUUAUGACAGAAUAUAGAAUAUCAAUCUCAUUUCUCUUAUACAAAAGAAUCUUUAGGGUGUUGGAAGAAUAAAUGAAGCAUACAAUUCGUACAAACUCCAGAAAGUGUCAUUUUUAUUAUAUGAGCUUUAUUAUUUUUUAAAAUAUCAUGUAUAUUCCUAUAUUAUAUGUUUCCCUGACUACUAUUUUCAAGUUAGGACAGAAGAUGAGCUUGAAUUUUUCUUAAGUAUAUUUUAACCUUAUCAUCAUUCUUUCCACUACCUCUUUAAAAAUUGCUUUAGCACACUGUUAUUUACUGUUAAAAUCUGACACUGUUGGCCAGGCAUGGUGGCUCAUGCUUAUAAUCCCAGCACUUUGGGUGGCCUAGGCAGGCAGAUCACUUGAGCUCAGGAGUUUGAGAGCAGCCUGGCCAACAUGGCGAAAUCCUGUCUUUACUAAAAAUAUAAAAAUUAGCCUGGCAUGGUAGCACACGCCUGUGGUCCCAGCUACUCAGGAGGCUGAGGCACGAGAAUUACUUGAACCCAGGAAGCCGAGGUUUCAGUGAGCCAAGAGCAUGCCACUGCACUCCAGCCUAUAUGACAGAAAGGGACUUUGUCUUAAAAAAAAAGCACUGGCUUAAUUUAUUAGCUUGAAUGGCUGUUUGUCAACCUUAGUGUUCUGCGUUAGAGAAAAUGUGCCAAUCAUCACAGAUGUCUUUACAAUGAAUAUGAGUUCACCACUUUUAGUGAUUAGAUUUUAGAGAGUAACAUCCAAAACAGUGAGCUCCUCCUCUAACAGCAGAGGCAGUGCUUGAUUAAUUAUCACCUUGUGUGAUAAAUGUAAUAGAGACACUUGCAAAGUAUUAUAAAAUCUCUUUGUCCAGAAAGUCAUUUCUAGUCCAGAAGAAAAUAAAUUGCUUUUAAAUAAAUCUUCUGGGAUAGUCAGUGCACAUCUAACUAAUCAACCGGGGAAAAAACUUUAUACAGACACUUCAUUAUAUUACUCCCAAUAUCUCAAACCAAAUAAACCUUCUUCCUUCAACCAGGCCAUUCUCCACAAUGCCAUUAAUCACACCUUGCUCAUCUCUCCAUCUUUUCCAGGGGAGGCUCUGCUCUUCACUUUCAGCUAAGUUAUUGAAGGAUUACUUUGGUGUAGGUAGUUUUCUAAGAGCUUUGCCUGCAUCAACUCAUUUCUUCCUCACUGUGGCUCUAAAAAGUAACUACUUAUUAUUUAUUUUU